UGCCAUCUGGUAACCUCAAACUUUGCCUGCAGGAAACGGGAGUUUGAUUAAUAUAGGUAAGGAGUAAUGCUUGCAGACUGCCCAGGGCCCGAGAGAGUACCUGAGAGCAGGCGUUGCUAUGGUCAGCAGGCUUUAGAGCCUGAUGCACAAAUCAAACCCAUCGUAGGAACUGGAUUUGAAGGUUUCUUUGGAAAAGGAAAGGCUAUUUGGGGAGUACUAAAAGUUACAAAACAAACAACCAACAACCCGGGAACUGACUGGGAAACAUUUUGAAGCCAGAACUCUAUAUUUUGUAGUUAAAUAAGGAGUGUAUCUUCUGCCACUGCAUUGUGUGGGUCAGUGUGGCAGUGGUGCAAAAUGUCACAGGGUUGAGUCCCACGUCCCGAAGACUUCUCCUCUCCCUCACAUAGUCCUGUUACUCAAGCCUCCCUCUACCCCUGAAUUAUACUUGUUCUACGUAGGCCUUACACUUACUGUGUUCUCAGCAUUCAUUCAGCCGGGCAGACUUUCUGAGAAUAUGAUAGGUUCUAGAUGCUGCUCCCAGAAGGCAGGAGUGUGAAGGGGAGGGUAUCUUAUUGAUAACCAGGAUCUGUACGAGAUAGAUUAUAUCCAAUUAAUCUUUUGUAAAGCUUGCAUUUCCUCCAAGUUGUAAGAUCUUUCUCGGGUAGAAGAAAAUCACGGCUGCACUCAGGGUGGUGGCUGGACAUCUGGCACUGGGGCUUUAUCCAUUCCAAGUCUUCGGGACAUCUUCACAUUCCCAAUGCUCUCCUUAGGACAAUUGAAAGAACGGAUGCAAAUAAUUGCUGGGUUUUCAGGCCGUGGAGACAGGAGGCCGUCGAAAGUGAAACUGAAUGACAAAUGGCUUCACUCUGAAGCAACUAGGAUCAACAACUCAGAUCUGGAUGGUGACCUGUAGUUUACAAUCCCAUCAGAAGAGUUGAGCUGGUCCUUUAAGGAGGCUGGCCAGAAAAUUGAAAAGAAGUCCAGAUGAUCACAGAUGUGAGACAGAAGAGGGCCACUUAUUCAUUGGUAGGCUUGGAGAUCAAAGCCAAGGCUUCAAAAACACUAAGGAAGUGCCAUCUACCAGAAAACCACAUCCCCAGCCCUGAAACAUUUAUUUGGAAACUUGGAUGAUACUUCUUAGGAAAACCCUUGGCUAAAGACGGAAUGAAGAUUUAAACAAAUAAGAAGAAACUGAGUCACAGCUGACGUGCUUCAUUGAUUAGGAUUGGACAUCUAACAAGGCUAUCACUCAGAGCACCGGGAUCCUAGUGUGGGUUUUCACAGUUCAUCUCAGAAUGGAUUUGGGGUAUGAAGAACGUGAUCACAGUUCCUAUUCAAGGUUCUCCUUUAACCUAAAAACCAUCCUAGCUGAAGAUCAAAAGAAAGAUUGGCAUUGAAUGAAGUACUGACUUAUACAGGACACCAAAAACACCAGAUCAGGUAACCAGGAAUGUUUCCUAUCUUGAUUCCCUGUCACAUACCUCACCUUUAAGUUUAAUUAUUAUCCCUCCUGAGAGUCAUCUGAGAGAAAUCUUGUUUGAGGAAUUGACUGGAUUGGAUUGACUUACAGGAAGAUUUAUGGAGAAUUGCCUUGAUUAUUAAUUGAUGUAGGAUGGCCCAGUCUACUGUGGGUGACACUAUCCCUAGGCUCGUAGACCUGGGUUCAAGAAAAAAAGCUAUGUAAGCAUAAGCCUGUAGCAAACCAGAGAGUGAGGCAACCAGGAGUAUUCCUCCAUGGUUCCUGUUUUCUGG
rnacentral:sRNA from 1 species